GAUUCUGAGACACGAAUCCAGGCCCUACGGGGUGCAGCAGGCGCGAAAACUUUACAAUGCUGGCAACAGCGAUAAGGGAACCUCGAGUGCCAGGUUACAAAUCUGGCUGUCGAGAUGCCUAAAAAGCAUUUCAUAGCAAGGGCCGGGCAAGACCGGUGCCAGCCGCCGCGGUAACACCGGCGGCUCGAGUGGUAACCGUUAUUAUUGGGUCUAAAGGGUCUGUAGCCGGCCGGAUAAGUCUCUUGAGAAAUCUGGCAGCUUAACUGUCAGGCUUUCAGGAGAUACUGUCUGGCUCGAGGCCGGGAGAGGUGAGAGGUACUUCAGGGGUAGGGGUGAAAUCUUGUAAUCCUUGAAGGACCACCAGUGGCGAAGGCGUCUCACCAGAACGGACCUGACGGCAAGGGACGAAAGCUAGGGGCACGAACCGGAUUAGAUACCCGGGUAGUCCUAGCCGUAAACGAUACUCGCUAGGUGUCGGCCACGGUGCGACCGUUGUCGGUGCCGUAGGGAAGCCGUGAAGCGAGC
rnacentral:rRNA from 1 species